ACUUGAAUAAUUUAAAUAAAAUAUUGAUUUGUGGAUUCAAAAAUAUGAUGAAAUUCAUUUUAGGUU
rnacentral:tRNA from 1 species